rnacentral:rRNA from 1 species
AUGCUACAAGACAUCACUUCCCUUGCUGCACUGAUGAACUUGAAUUUAUCAUCAAACAAAUUGAGUGGACCAAUUCCAAACAUGAUUGGGGCCAUGCAGUCACUGGUAUCUCUCGACUUCUCUGAGAACAAGCUCUCUGGUGAAAUCCCGUUGAGCUUGUCAAAUCUGACAUUGUUGGAGGCCUUGAACUUGUCUUGCAACAAUUUAUCUGGAAGGAUACCCUCUGGCCGCCAACUUGACACCCUCAAUUCGGACAACCCGUCAAUUAUGUACAUCGGCAACAGUGGACUCUGUGGGCCUCCUCUCAAAAAGAAUUGUCCAGGAAAUGAUUCUUCCAUCAUCCAUGGCGAUCUUGAAAGCAGUAAGCAACAGUUUGAUCCACUGACCUUUCAUUUUGGUCUCGUGCUGGGACUUAUGGUGGGGCUUUGGGUGGUGUUUUGUGCACUGUUGUUCAAGAGGACAUGGAGAAUUUCUUUCUUCCGGUUCUUUGACGAGGCGUACGAUCAAGUCUAUGUAUUUGUGCUUGUGAAGUGGGCAAGCUUCGCAAAGAACACAGCUACAGAAUAA